rnacentral:rRNA from 1 species
AGCGAACGCUGGCGGCAGGCUUAACACAUGCAAGUCGAACGGGCAUAGCAAUAUGUCAGUGGCAGACGGGUGAGUAACGCGUGGGAACGCACCUUUUGGUUCGGAACAACACAGGGAAACUUGUGCUAAUACCGGAUAAGCCCUUACGGGGAAAGAUUUAUCGCCGAAAGAUCGGCCCGCGUCUGAUUAGCUAGUUGGUAGGGUAAUGGCCUACCAAGGCGACGAUCAGUAGCUGGUCUGAGAGGAUGAUCAGCCACAUUGGGACUGAGACACGGCCCAAACUCCUACGGGAGGCAGCAGUGGGGAAUAUUGGACAAUGGGCGAAAGCCUGAUCCAGCCAUGCCGCGUGAGUGAUGAAGGCCCUAGGGUUGUAAAGCUCUUUUGUGCGGGAAGAUAAUGACGGUACCGCAAGAAUAAGCCCCGGCUAACUUCGUG